UGCCAGCAGCCGCGGUAAUACGGAGGGUGCAAGCGUUAAUCGGAAUUACUGGGCGUAAAGGGUACGUAGGCGGUUAUUUAAGUUGGAUGUGAGAGCCCCGGGCUCAACCUGGGAACUGCAUUCAAAACUGGGUAACUAGAGUGUAUAAGAGGUUAGCGGAAUUCCAGGUGUAGCAGUGAAAUGCGUAGAUAUCUGGAGGAACAUCAGUGGCGAAGGCGGCUAACUGGUAUAACACUGACGCUGAGGUACGAAAGCGUGGGGAGCGAACGGGAUUAGAUA
rnacentral:rRNA from 1 species